rnacentral:lncRNA from 1 species
AUAUAUCUAUAUAUGACUUCAGAACAGACAUACCAAUACACGGAUUGCCUUGUGAAAUUGAAGUUUCUCUUUAAUAAGCCAUCACUGACAGGCAAUUAUUCAGAAAGGAACCGAAGACUGGAUUAUUCUUCCCCAAACUGUAGGAACUGGAAAAGGAUGCAGAAGCUUUAGUGACUGCUUACAUAACUGAUCUCUGAAGUAAAACUGAGUGAAAAUCACAGUUUGCCACAGUAUGAAGCAUAGAUGAACCAACUGGAAUGGACUGCUACUAAACAGUGAUUACCAUGAAGUCAAGGGGAGACUUUGGUACAAAACAUAUAAUGGCACGUAAACAAUAUAUAUAUAUAUAGGAAGCUCACAGUAAUUAAAAUAUAAAGUUAAAAACACAAUAAAUUAUUCAAUUAAGAAACA